GACGAACGCUGGCGGCGUGCUUAACACAUGCAAGUCGAACGGAAAGGCCCUGCUUUUGUGGGGUGCUCGAGUGGCGAACGGGUGAGUAACACGUGAGUAACCUGCCCUUGACUUUGGGAUAACUUCAGGAAACUGGGGCUAAUACCGGAUAUAAGCUCCUGCUGCAUGGGGGGGGUGGGAAAGUUGCGGUGGUUGGGGAUGGACUCGCGGCUUAUCAUCUUGUUGGUGGGGUAGUGGCUUACCAAGGCUUUGACGGGUAGCCGGCCUGAGAGGGUGACAGGCCACAUUGGGACUGAGAUACGGCCCAGACGCCUACGGGGGGCAGCAGUGGGGAAUAUUGCACAAUGGGCGGAAGCCUGAUGCAGCAACGCCGCGUGCGGGAUGACGGCCUUCGGGUUGUAAACCGCUUUCGCCUGUGACGAAGCGUGAGUGACGGUAAUGGGUAAAGAAGCACCGGCUAACUACGUG
rnacentral:rRNA from 1 species